UUUCAUGAAUUCCUUAUAUGUUUUAGAUAUUAAUCCCCUACCAGAUAUCACAAAUAAUUAGAAAGAUAUCUCUUAUUCAUGAGUUGGAAGAAUUAAUAUUACUAAAAUAUUCAUACUAUCCAAAGCUAUCUAUAGAUUCAGUUCAGUUUUUAAAAU